rnacentral:rRNA from 1 species
UUCGCAAUGCCCGAAAGGGUGACGAAGCGACGCCGCGUGGGUGAGGAAGGCCUUCGGGUUGUAAAGCCCUGUCAGGAGUUAAGGAAUAUAAGUGUGUUAAUACCGCAUUUAUUUGACGAAGGCUCCAAAGGAAGCCACGGCUAACUCUGUGCCAGCAGCCGCGGUAAUACAGAGGUGGCAAGCGUUGUUCGGAAUUAUUGGGCGUAAAGAGCACGUAGGUGGGUUUGUAAGUCAGAUGUGAAAGCCUUCUGUUCAACGGGAGAAUUGCAUCUGAAACUGCAAGUCUUGAGUAUAGGAGGGGAGAAUGGAACUUCUGGUGGAGCGGUGAAAUGCGUAGAUAUCAGAAGGAACGCCGGCGGCGAAAGCGAUUCUCUGGCCUAUUACUGACACUCAGUGUGCGAAAGCUAGGGGAGCAAACGGGAUUAGAUACCCCGGUAGUCCUAGCUGUAAACGAUGGGCACUAAGUAGAGGGGUUUU